rnacentral:ncRNA from 1 species
CCCGUCACGCCUCUCAACAAUGCGCACCAGACGGGC